UCCGAGUUGACCCCGGCAGUUUCCUAUGAGUCCCCGCCAUCACGCGCUGGCAACAUAGAACGAGGGUUGCGCUCGUUGCGGGACUUAACCCAACACCUCACGGCACGAGCUGACGACAGCCAUGCAGCACCUGCACUAGCUCCCCUUUCGGGGUCAUUGCCGUUUCCGGUUCUUACAACUAGCAUGUCAAGCCUGGGUAAGGUUCUUCGCGUUGCGUCGAAUUAAACCACAUGCACCACCGCUUGUGCGGGCCCCCGUCAAUUCCUUUGAGUUUCAGCCUUGCGGCCGUACUCCCCAGGCGGGGCACUUCAUGCGUUAGCGCCGGUACUCCAAGGGUCGCUCCCCGGAGCACCUAGUGCCCAUCGUUUACGGCGUGGACUAC
rnacentral:misc_RNA from 1 species